rnacentral:misc_RNA from 1 species
AAAUAAUGUAUCUUUAGAAAUCAACUCCUUUUUGGGGUUAAAACGGGGGAUGGUAGGUUGACUCCCUCAUCACAAAAUCUCCGAAACUAAAACAGCUAUAAACUUGAAAUUUGGUAGGUAGAUUUCCUAUAGGGCGUAAACAUCCGCUAAGAGCUGAUUUUACGAAACCCGCGACCCUUAAGGGGAUAAAACGGGGGUUGGAAGUUUGUAUGAAAGUCCUAUGUUUUUGAAGAACGAGACUUGAAAUUUAAAAUGUAUGCUCUAUAGAUGGUAGAAAGGUGACCAAAU